UCUACUUUAGCUUCCAGGGCAUGAAGCCACCUCUCUCAUGGAUAUUGCUUCAAACCAAGUUUCCCUCUUCACGGAAGAAAGUUUCCCUCUUCACGGAAAAAAGCCAAGGCUGCACCUAAUUCUCAUUAGCAACGGCAGCUGUGCUUGGGCUGGUGUUUAAGCCACCAGGAAAAGGCAAAGUAACAGUAAUAGCUUUGACUGAUUGCUCGGCAAGGGAAACAGAGCCCUCAGGUGUUGUAGACUUUCUAUGGCCUAUAAACCUCUUUGAAAACCUGUUUCUCAGAAUUUAAGGCUCAGCUCAAUUGAGAACUGAAGAAAGAAAAUGACUCAAGAUGGACAUUAUUGGAUCUGCUGCUGCUACUUCUUUCAGGCCCGGAAUCUCCUCCCAUGUUAUAGUCAACCUUUCAGGAAGGAAGAAAGCCAAUGCAGGCUUCUGGCAGGGCUGCUGUUCGCAGGAGCCUCACAGGCCCAGGAUUCACAUGAGACCUUUCCUCACCAUCCAGGGAAGAUGUCCCUGCCAGCCCUGCGUGGAAAUGUCACCUGUCACGGCCUCACUUACUUCAAGGACUGGAGGCAGGGCCCCAAGUGUUGCAUAAGCUCCUCCUCCUUCUCGUAAGAUUCCAGCAAGCUCUGUGCCUUGUCGUGCUGAUAGCAGUAUAUUUUAUAAAUCUCUUCCAUUGGCCCUUUAAUCUGCAAGAACACCUCUCCUGAAAAAUACAAAGCAGGGGCAGAUGGUAUGAAACCAGACCAAGCCAGCACUUCGGAUGUGUAUCAUUCAACAAUGUUGAUUCUUGCAAAAAUGUUGUAUGGGCCCCACUUUAUCCUCAGGUAAUUCAAAAGGUGUAUUAAGUACAGAGAAAUUUGUUUCUCUUUUCUUUCUUUCCUCUUCGCUUUCCUUCUUUAUUUCCUCCCUCCCUGUCUUCUCUCCCUCCCUCUCUCCCUUCCUCUUUCCCUUCUUCUUUCCUUCCACUUAUAAAACAAAGGAUGAAGAGCUUGACAGAGACGGGCAUUAAGGAAGCAGAGUUCUCCUGGAGGUGACUGUGCCAGGCUGGUGGGCAGGCUGGUGGCUCAUACCUGUGGUUUGAGCAGAUCUCUCGAAGUGGCUGGGACAGGUUUGGAUUGGGCUGCAUGAAACACUGGUGUUGUGACUUAAGCCAAUUAGUGUAACUCUCUGAGUUUCAUAGGAUUGUUAUAAAAUGAGAGGUAGUGUAUCUAAGGCCAGUGCACAGUACAAAUAUACUAAGGUACUACAAUGGGACUGUUUCUGUUAAUUUACUAGAAGUAAAAGAGGAGAAAUUUUAGGUACUAGGUAAGUGACUUUUCAGUAUUUAUUUCACUAACAUUUCCUGAGUUCUCUGAAAGGCAAGUGGUAGAAUUUAGAGCAAUAGAAUACUUCCUUAUAUGUGACAAUAAAAAGAAACCACAAUUUAAUUCCUUAUAGAAAUUAAGUGGGUAAUACUGUGAACCAAGAUUGUGAAUGUAUUUUAUCGAAGCAACUUGAGCUAAUUGUACCCAGGCAUUUAGUGAAUGCUCUGAUAUUAUGAUAAAUCAGGAGUAUACAUGGUGGAUGAGGCAGGUAUUGGAGGACAGCUUGAUUCAGUCACCAUUGCAUCACUUAAAACUAAUUGGUCAGUGUCUACUACCGCCUAGCAUGUGCUAGAUGACUUGGGGUAUGUGGCAGAACCCACCCUCAGAAACACUGCAGACUCGAGAUCCAUGGUGAUCCGGAGGCUGAAGGGAUUGACAGUGAUGUGGACCUGGUUGUCCGGACCUGUUACAGUGACGGGGGAGUCUGUCUCCCCACAGAAACACAAUGUCCUUGUCUGUAGGGUUGUCUGCACGUGUUUUAUGCACAUUAACUGCCUCAUCCCCUAUGCACAUGAAGAAACAAGAGGCUGUUCAUCCAUAUUGAACAAGGAUGAACAAGUCUGAGUCUAACAAAUCAUUUCUCCGAAGUCCUGCCAGGGGACACAGUCAGGGCUAUUGUCCAGCUGUCCUUGAGUAUCAGCCCCUCACACUCAGCCCAGCCAGAUACUCCAGGGGAUGCAGCUGAAAUGGGCACUGAACUUGAGGCACAAAUCAGGGUUUGUGUGGUGGCUUUGGGAAUGACGGUUUAAAAAAAAUGUGAGCCACUUUCCCUGUAUUAUUCAGAAAGUGGAAAUAACACUAGCUACAGUACUACUGAGAUUAAUUUAGGAACUAAGCAGGGCGAGGGAUGCAAACUGUAUCUGCCCCUGACUAGUUGUCACUUGUCUCUUAAAGCUGCUUCACUGUCUGUAGAAUUAAAACACCAGUCUCAUAGUGAAAGUGUCAUAGUCUUUUCUUAUUGGUAGCUAGUCAAUAAAAGACUUCUUUCCUUUUCAUUAUAUGUGCUUUUCUCUGUGAUUAGAGAUUCUGAGGUGACGGAGAGGUGUGUGCAUGUGUUUUCUCUUGUGGCUGUUUGCUUUAAUAGUCUGUAAGGAGACCCAGGGACUGUGGGCAUCUUUGAAGCUGAGUGGAUGCGGAAUUCUUGAUUUCUUUCAGGAGCAGAUCCUCCUGGCACUAUAGAUCUUGUAGAUCUGCUCUAUAAGACAGCUGCACAAACAAUAAGAAAUAGUUGACACAGAGAGAAAAUAAAAGAGGACAGCAACUUCAUGUAGGGGCAGGCAUAGGUGGAGAGAAACCCCUAGCAGAACUAGGCAGCAGAAGGAGCCGGGGUGUUGGAUGGGGGAGAGGGAAGGCCCAGAAAUAGGAGAGAGAGACAGGUUAAGCUGCAGCUCCCUGCAAGCUGAGAACUGAGGGUCUGAGUCCACACAGCCCACACAGGUGACAUGUAAAUGUACAUGUUCACUGCUAAGAAAGUAGGGCUAGAGACUGAAAAAGAGAGAGGCAAAGAUAGCCUCACGAAUCCACAAUGGGAUCCAACCAGGAAGCCAAAGAAACAAAGACAAAGGCUCUUAUUUUAUGAACAAUUAUAUCAUUAAUUGCAAAUGCCCCCACAUGUUCUUUAAUAGAAAUGCUCUGGUCUGAA